rnacentral:rRNA from 2 species
AGUGAGCGAAUCCCAAAAAGUGCGUCGUAGUCCGGAUUGGAGUCUGCAACUCGACUCCAUGAAGUCGGAAUCGCUAGUAAUCGUGGAUCAGAAUGCCACGGUGAAUACGUUCCCGGGCCUUGUACACACCGCCCGUCACACCAUGGGAGUGGGCUGCAAAAGAAGUAGGUAGUUUAACCUUCGGGGGGACGCUUACCACUUUGUGGUUCAUGACUGGGGUGAAGUCGUAACAAGGUAGCGCUAGGGGAACCUGGCGCUGGAUCACCUCCUUA